rnacentral:rRNA from 1 species
UACGUAGGUGACAAGCGUUGUCCGGAUUUACUGGGCGUAAAGAGCGCGCAGGCGGUCGUUCAAGUCGAGUGUGAAAGCCCCCGGCUCAACUGGGGAGGGUCACUCGAUACUGAUCGACUCGAAGGCAGGAGAGGGUAGUGGAAUUCCCGGUGUAGAGGUGAAAUUCGUAGAUAUCCGGAGGAACACCAGCGGCGAAGGCGGCUUUCUGGUCCGAUACUGACGCUGAGGUGCGAAAGCGUGGGGAGCGAUCCGG